rnacentral:rRNA from 1 species
GAUGAACGCUGGCGGCGUGCCUAAUACAUGCAAGUCGAGCGAACAGACGAGGAGCUUGCUCCUCUGACGUUAGCGGCGGACGGGGGAGUAACACGUGGAUAACCUACCUAUAAGACUGGGAUAACUUCGGGAAACCGGAGCUAAUACCGGAUAAUAUAUUGAACCGCAUGGUUCAAUAGUGAAAGACGGUUUUGCUGUCACUUAUAGAUGGAUCCGCGCCGCAUUAGCUAGUUGGUAAGGUAACGGCUUACCAAGGCAACGAUGCGUAGCCGACCUGAGAGGAUGAUCGGCCACACUGGAACUGAGACACGGUCCAGACUCCUACGGGAGGCAGCAGUAGGGAAUCUUCCGCAAUGGGCGAAAGCCUGACGGAGCAACGCCGCGUGAGUGAUGAAGGUCUUCGGAUCGUAAAACUCUGUUAUUAGGGAAGAACAAAUGUGUAAGUAACUAUGCACGUCUUGACGGUACCUAAUCAGAAAGCCACGGCUAACUACGUG